GCAGCGUCCUCAGUAACACAGCCCUUUGUGCUGUGGGGGGUGGGAUUGAGGUGUGAGAUAUGAGGGUCGGCCACACUGGCUUAGGUGUGGGCCUCUCAUUACUGGGCCUUGAUGUUUUUAAAGGAACAGCAUGCACGUUGCUUAUGCUUGCACUUUUAUUCGACUGUAUCGAGACACUCGCACUCUGUGUUGCAUAAGCCAUCUCUGAAACAUUAGCAUUGGGUUUCCACAAUGUAAAGCUAAUGCAGUAGUGCGGUUUUGAUGCUAAUGCAGAAGGGUAAUGAAGUCACAUCUCUUCUGCGCUUCCUGUUAAUCAUCAUCUCUGAGUGAAUGACUUGCAGACAACUUCAAAUGAGGAAAUGCUGCACUGUAAAUUAUAUUCACCAAAAUACGGUAAGGCCACGCCCUGUUGGGAGUUUUCCCUGCGUAUGCAUCUGUGUGUGGCAGGAUUUAGUGUGCUUAAUGUUCUUUUCACAGCUGUGUCUGACUUCUCUGCCAGCUGUGCAUCCGGAGCGACGCAGGCCUCUGGACUGUGCCAGCUGUGCAUCCGGAGCGACGCAGGCCUCUGGACUGUGCCAGCUGUGCCAGGGCAACUGCUCCCGCACACAGAACGAGCUCUUCCACAACAACAAUGGAGUCUUUCGGUGAGAACCACGGAACUGAAGGACCCAGCCUGCUCGUCCCUCUUCAGCUCUACCGAUGCUGGACAGGAGGAGCAGGCGAGGGGGCCUUUGUGAAGCGCACCACUGCUCCAGGUGGGUAUUGCUCCGCUCCGCUGACACACCCCGGGCUGUGAACCGCCACAGGCGGAGGCUCUGCUGGCUUUCCCGUACACGGCCGCAGAGAGCGCUGGCUACCAGCUGCUGUGCAACAAUGGCAGCAGGGGGGACGCGAGCAGCUUGGCCGCCUGCCACCUGGCCGGGGUGCCCGCCCACGCUGUCGUCAGCCGCACGGACGCUCAGCUGGAACAACCUCCGGAAGGCCAAGGUACACCUUUAAAUGACUGUAACAACCUCACACCUGCAAUCCACCCCUUGGCAGCGUGCAGUCACAGUACAAAUCCUGUGUCCCACAGUGAGAGAGAGAACCAGAGAACACAUACUAGAGCUAUGGAAGUCUCCAUAACUCGUCUGAGGCCUAUUUGUCCUUAAAAUCUGUUGUUCAAAGACUCUGCCGGUGGCUUGGCUCUGCAGCCCAGAGCUACAGACUCAUUCCUCUUCCAAGGAGCAGAGUACUGCUCUGUCAUCUGCUCUGUCAACGGAGGUGUGCAGCCAUGUGAAAGCCCUCACACACGCGCUCACUUGCAAACGUGCUUGCGUCGCUUGCGCCGAAGCUUACAAACGCAUGGAUAUAUGCGCAUACACAUAUAUAAAUGUGUGUAUGCACACUGAUGUACCCGCAUGUAUGCACACUGAUGCACCCGCAUUCCAACAACUCAUCAAUGGAACUACUGUAAUAACCAGAAAAGCUGGAAAAGAGGACAGUCACCUACACGUCCGUAGAUCCUCUAGCCAGGAUCCAUGUACGCUUACAGUAAUUGUGGAUUCUCACUGCAUUGUUAAAAAUGGCAUAAGUUUUUAAUGUUUUACCAGGGCUGUCAUAUUGUGUAUUUUGUCUGUUUUUUUCUUUUUCUUAAUUUUUAUAGACCUUGGUAUAGUUUCGUAACAAACACUUAACAGUGCAUCUGAUUCAUGCUGAACAUUGCACAUUAUACUGAUGUUACUGUGAUUUCCAUGUGCAAUACAUAAAUACAAAAAUUGUAAAAUAAUGCAGAGGCAUAUAAAUUGUACUGAUAGCUCUGGAGAGCAGGUCAAUCAAAUUUAUGCAUUCUACGCAUAAAACUCCAGUCUUAACUGACCAUUUCCACACUUCUGAGAGCUGGAGUAAGCCUGCACUUCCCACACCUACCACCAGAGGGCAUAUGAGAGAUCUGUGGGACGACCUCCGUGGUGAAAACAUAUACUGAAAAACUUGAAUUUCCCUUCAACUCUGCAUCCUACUUGAAACAGAUUUGAUCAGCCACUGCUGAACUUCCAUUUGAAACUAUACCGUAGCAAAAUAUAUUUAAGUUUCAAAAUUGUCCUUGUGUUCUGUGUGUAGAAUCAUCAAAAGGAUCUCCUAUUAAAGUGCAGUACCGCCUCGCGGUUUAGGCAUGGUGCUAAUGCCCCCCAGGCUGGCGCACAAUCGGCUCUAGCGUAGCUCAGGGAUUGGAGGGAUUCAGACAGUAAGCAUCUCACUGUGCACCAGUGAAUGAAGUUGGUUGAUUGGGCGCCUGCAAGUCAACUGCAAGUGAAAACAACGGCGUAGACUAAUUUCACCACAAUAUAUUUUACUUGGAUCACGAUAUCAAUCUAGAUGUACAAGAAUGAUUUGGAUGAAUCUCUGCCAUCUUUUUGAAUACAGAACUAUUUACAAUUAAUUCAGUUUUGUCUGCAAUUUGGAAUUUAUACUCGUAUAUACUGCUGGUUAACUCAACAACUACAACAAAUUCUUACUGGAAUCUCUCAAUUUUGACUAGAAUCUCUCUAGAAUGUUGGCCUGGGGCUGAAUGACAUAACUCCACCCCCACCCUCCCCUCACCUCCCCUUCCCCCACAGCCAGUGACUGAGACUCAGUGGACAACUUUGUGAAUAAUCUUUGCUUUUAUAGAAGGGCAGAACAAUGUAACAACAUUCCUGUUUAAGGUCACACAUCCAAUCUAACAAGUCCAUAAUUCUGCAAUCAAACAUCUAAACACUGCAAAUGACAACAAACCUUGCACAGAUACCCAAGCUUGUUCAGUGUGCGUUUGAUGCUUAAUAAAUGUGUUCCUUAAACAAAAAAAGGCACAAUACUAGGACUUCUUAGCUUCAUGACCCUGACUUCAAAAAAGACAAAAC